CUGCCGGCCCGGCCCCAUGCUGCGCUCGCUGCUCUCCGGCUGCCUCUGUCCCCUCGCAGCAGGUAAGAAGAGCCCACCUGCUGAGGACAAAGUCGUGUUAACACACAUGAAGAUACUGAGCAAUGAAGGAAUUCAAAACCCAGGGUUAAUCCCAGAGGCUCCAGCUGACACAGCCUGCACAGAGGAGUCCCAUCUUCCCAGUGCCAGUGUCCCACCAGACUGCCAGCGUCCAGAUGCAGCAGCCACGCCAGCAGAUCCAGACUCUGUGGAUGGCCUGGCAAGCACUGACUACGUAGCCACCCUGCCUGACCUCAGCGCCUUCGAGUCCAAGUGCCGGCUUCACAGAUUCUCCAAAUUUGAAUCUGAGGACUCGGGGGUUGAGUUGCCAAGCGGUGCUAAUUCUCCAUCAACACCAACAGGCUCAGAGAAGAGCUUUGUGCUACACAGCAGAGACUCAUUUUGCGACUCGGGUGUGCUUAGCACCACUUCUUCUCCAGAAAUUGACCAUCAGUUAAUGAGAACAUGUAAUGAACAUGCCAGAAAAGUUAGCCUCCGAGAUCCAGAGAGCAAAAAGCAAGCUGAUUACUAUGGUCAGGAUGUAGAUGCUGUGCAGGAUCCUACAGCUUCCCUUGAAGACUUCAGUGGCCCUCAGGAAGGAAGUCCUGAUGAACAUUUUCACCAGGAUGACAAGCAGUCUCCAGAAAAGGAACCUACUGCAGAGAUGGAUCUUUCCAGGGAAAGCACUCUUUCCACCCCAGGUCCCAUAGAAGAGCCAAAGACAAUUGCUGACAAUUUUCCAGAGAAUUUUGGCAGCAUGCAAGACCUUCAGAUCCAUGAACAUCAGCUGAAGAAGUACCCCACAAGUGACAGCCUGGAUGAAUACAUGGAUGAAUGCUGUAGGCUGAGUGAGGUGAACCAAAGUAACAGCAAAGCCCUGGGAUCUGGUCUGGGAUACCUAGAACACAUCUGCCAGCUGAUUGAGAAGAUUGGGCAGCUUCAGGAGCACAACCUGCGUCUCCAAAAACAAGUGUGCAGCUUGCAGAAAGAGCAGAAAAUGAGUCAGAUAAAAGAGGAAUACAUUCUGCAGCAUUGCUCCUGUGGAGCUGCCAGUAUCUUCCUUAACUCAUAUCAAGACAUGAAAACAAAUUUUACUGGGAGGAGCAGACCUCACAGCCUCUUGGUUCAGACUGGAAACCCUUCUGAUCUUUCCAUCAUCCCAGAAAUAGGAGCGAACACCGAGAAGCUGAGCAGCUGCAAUGGAAGUGAGAGAUAUCUGCAAUCAGGAAAGAGCCAGCCGAUGAUGGGGCUCAGGAUGUCAUCAAACAAUAGGAACAACAAGGAGAAUGAGUUCAGAGAAGUUGGGAGUAUGGCUGAGGGCCAGGCUUUUCUCUCAAAGGAUCCUGCAGUAAGAAAGGGUGAGAGCCAUGCUUGGAGGAGAAUGAGAGAUCUUAUGAGGAAGUCACGGCUGACAAACCAGAACAAGCUGGGGCUGUCCUCUGCUGCUCUGAAGAGGUCCUGCCCACAGUUGUAUAGGCCAGAUAUUAUGUCUUCAGAGCUGAGAAAAACUGAGAGGAACUCCAUGAUUGUUCUGGGACAAAAUACAAAGAACGAAAACUUAUGGCCUUUCUGACAACCUGAGUCAAAUGGAGCAAGGUAAGAAAGUCAAGGCAAGAACACCAAAGGACACAAAAUCGAGAAUCCUGGGGUUACUCUGUGCAAUCUACAUCCUACAGUUGUCAACAAAGCAACUCUGAAUUGAGUGUUGGAAGGGAAAGAGGGAAGGGGGAUGUUGAGAAGGGUCUGUGGGCACAUACAUGCUCAACUAUGUAUGGCUUUGCUCCUGAAUAUGAAGUGUACUUUAAAAAGUCAAGCCACAGAUGAAACUUGCUGUUAGCAUCUUGGCAACACAACCAACAGGGACCUUUAAGAUUCGGAAAUUCUUCCUCUUCUCUGGGUUGGGAACAGAAUUGCCUGCAAUAUUGAAGCUUUUAAACUAUCAUUACUUUCUGGGCACUUCUUCAGCUGAAAUAAACAUUAGCUCUACCUAGAGGAGUGCCAGAGACUCAUUGCCCAGGGCAGAGGUGGCUGUUGAAAGGACAGCCUCCUCCCUCUGGGGAGCCCGAGUUGCAGUCUCUGUCCCUAGCACAGUUCCUCCCUUCAGAGCUGCCUAUAGCCAGCUGUGCCAUUUCACUGGAAUCCAACAGGAAAACAAACUGUGUAAAGCUAAGGUCAUUCCUGAAUCCACUACUAGCUUCCCAUCCUGUGGGCCUUUUCCUUCCACAGAGGUCCCUGAACUCUGGUGCUACCCUGCACAGAAGUUGGCAUUGUACACACUCAUUGUAAAGACCAGAGUAAGCAGCACUGCAGGAAUCAGCCUUCCAAGAGACUGGAGGGGCAUCCAGGGCAGCCUCUGCCCUACGCCCAGCCAUUGUGUAAUGAAUCUUUUUCUCAUUUUUUGAUGGGGGACAGGACACCAGGCUUGAAUUCCUACUUUUAAGGUCCGUUGAAGUGCUCUGUUUGUGCAGGUGGGGGCCUGAGGCUGUAGGUGGAGCAGUCAUGCUGCUGUAUGGCUGCACCUGCACUCUCUCUACUGGGAAAAGUUGAGGAGAGCAAGGCUACAAGGGAAAGAAAUUCAAAUACAUCCUUUAUCAACUGGUGCUCUUUUUGGAUACACUAACAACUGUGUAACAUCAUGACUGUGUGAUGGCUGCACAUGUCCCCUGUUUCCUGACUCAAGGAACGGGCAGUGCAAGCUUCUGAAUGUCCCAUGGCUGCAGCAGUCUCUGCACACUUAGCUCUUACUGGUACUAGCAAAAUAAUUAAUACACAUGAGGUAAAGAUUUAAUUAAACUAACAUUGCCUCUUGAUAAAGGAUUGUUCUACCCCAUAAAUGACAAUAUAAUUACAAGUCAAGCAAUUGCUGAUUAAAAAUCCUUCCCCAACCCCAACUUGCCUGAGAACCAAGAUUUGACAAGCUGGCAGGAAUGAUCAGCUUCAGCAGGCUUAGUCUUUCCAUAACAGAUGCUUCUCCCUUGCUCAUCCACAUCACUGAAACCAGGACAGGAUCUUUUCUGGGAUUUGGAGCAUCUCAGCCAUGCCCUUCCAGGACCAGUAGAAUUUGCAGGGGUGAGUGAGGGUUCAAGUACUCAGAAGGAUUGGUUGCUACUUUUGUUAGCAUCUCAAUAAAACCCCUCGAACACAAUGACCAAACCCCAGCAACUCAAACCAAAAUCCCCAUUAAAAGAAAAAAAAAGGCUGUGCUGACCCAAGGUUAGCACCCUAAAGUAGGUGCUGUGUUUAAUGUUUCAGCUGUAGCUGCUGCUGCAGGACUUGGUUAUUCACUAUAUAUCUUGCUAGCUUCAUCCAAAGCUAGAAAGAUUUAUGACUUGAUUAUUCUGUGAAUAUUCUGUAUAUAUCUCCAUAAAUACAGGGGACAAAAAUCCUGCAUUAACUUGCAUCCUCCAUUAUCCCUCCAGCUUUUUUACAGUGACUGUACAGAAUGUGAAUCAGUGAAAACUGAAUUUAAAGUGUUUUAAGACAUAGCAUAAUGAAAUGGUAUUUUCUACAACCCUCUCUAUUCAUGGUAUAAGUUUGUUGGGUGUUUUAUGGUUUGUUUGUUUUUUUAAUUAAGAUAAACUAGCACUCUUCUUUAUUAUAGCAUUAUGUUAAAUAUGUUCAUGUAUUUUUCAGAAAGAAAUGUAUUUAUAACAUGUAACAUACUGUAUAGUUCUCUACUCCAGGAUCCAUUGUAAUCCAAGCAUAAGAAAUUUAAUAAAACUAUCACUAUUAUGGUAA
ensembl:lncRNA